GACGAACGCUGGCGGCGUGCUUAACACAUGCAAGUCGAACGGAAAGGCCCUGCUUUUGUGGGGUGCUCGAGUGGCGAACGGGUGAGUAGCACGUGAGUAACCUGCCCUUGACUUUGGGAUAACUUCAGGAAACUGGGGCUAAUACCGGAUAGGAGCUCCUGCUGCAUGGUGGGGGUUGGAAAGUUUCGGCGGUUGGGGAUGGACUCGCGGCUUAUCAGCUUGUUGGUGGGGUAGUGGCUUACCAAGGCUUUGACGGGUAGCCGGCCUGAGAGGGUGACCGGCCACAUUGGGACUGAGAGACGGCCCAGACUCCUACGGGAGGCAGCAGUGGGGAAUAUUGCACAAUGGGCGGAAGCCUGAUGCAGCAACGCCGCGUGCGGGAUGACGGCCUUCGGGUUGUAAACCGCUUUCGCCUGUGACGAAGCGUGAGUGACGGUAAUGGGUAAAGAAGCACCGGCUAACUACGUG
rnacentral:rRNA from 1 species